GCCGCCGCCACAGCCGCCGCCGAAGUGGUAGUAGAGCUCCACGGCGGAUCUCUGGGCUCUUCUGCUCGCUUUUUUUUCUCUCCAGAAAUUAAAGCAGAGGAGCAUCUGAAAGUGGAAAGGUCCCCCUUCUGGUAGGAUGGAUGUAAAAGGAGGCAACAAUUUAUUCUUGAGGGGGCAAAAAGGGGAAAGCAUUGCUUGGCUUUGCAUUGUCGGACCUUAUAAAAUAAAGUGUGGCUGUUCUUGUUGCCCACACUCGGGAAAUCUUUGCAGACCUGCCAAGUCUCUCUUAUUUGGAAUCUUUUUAAAGGCAAGUUGUUUGGACUUCUUUUUCUUUUUCUUUUCGUUCAGAGAAAGUCAGGGACGCUUGAAGGAUGUCAUAAUGUGAUUCAAAGGAGACAGCUUUCCUGGCACUCCUUUAAAUAACAUUCUUAAAUUGACAUAGAUCUCUGGCUGGAAAAUCUAAAGCUUUAUCUUGGUUUAAAAAAAAAACAGCAAGAGGUAAGAAAAUAUGCACUUAAGAAUAUGUGAACAAGAUAAUAGUUUCUAAAGCAUAUUGGAAUGUUUGCAGAUUGGUAGGAUUUGUGUUUGUUUUCACAUAGUUUUGCUUUCUAACUUUUCACCUGCUCCCAUCCCAAAACAAGAAACACCACGUGUUUCCUUCUUCUACCUUCUAUCCGAGGAAGAAGAAUAUUUUAAUUUUUUUUUUUUUUUUUUUUUGCUGUUUAUUGAUUGGUCAUGCUUGUCAAGUCAUAAAUGCUAGACAGGACUACCAAAAUAGAGCUGAGUUUCACAAGUCUUUGUUGAAAUUAAAAGGUACAGAAUAGAGUUAAGUAAUUACACUAAUGGGCAGAAUUUAGUACAAGUGGUAUUGUUCUUAACUGGAUUUUUUUUUAAGUCUCCAUUCUGUAAAAUGAAGAUAUAACUAUUAAAGACCACCCAAAGACAUCAAAGCAUUGAGGAAGUUGUAUUUUCAUUUCUAAUCUAACCUUUAAACUGCUUUGACCCUAAAGUAGGUACAGUAUAUGUUUUUCCCAGUCUCUUCAUUAUAAUUAAAUGAGUUUUCAGUCCAUCUACAGGAAUUUCUAAAAUAAAAUCAUAGUUGCAGUCAAAUAAAUAUAAUUUUACGUGGCUGUGAAAUAGUAAAGCAUACAGCUUGAAUUGCAGGAUCUACAUUUGAACAUUCAAGAUUCUAGAUUUCAUACAUAACUUUAUAACCAUUCCACUUCACAGAAACCCUUCAGAAAGGAAAACUGUUGAAGACUCUUAAGCUUUUACAAUGCUUUCCUUUCAUGUGGGAGCCAUAUGUGUGCAGGAUGCUAUGGUGCCAGGUGUUUUAUCAUCUCAUAUCAUGGCAAGAAGAGAAAGGGCUUUUAUAACAGAAUACCAUAGACUGGGGAACUUAUAAACAACAGAAAUUUACUUCUCACAGUUCUGGAGGCUGGAAGUUCAAGAUCAAGGCACCAGCUGAUUUAGUGUCUGGUAAGGGUUUCCUUCCUGGUUCAUAGACGGCUGCCUUCUCACUAUGUCCUCACAUGGGAAAAGGGGCUAGAGACCUCUCUAGGGCUUUUAAGAACUAAUCCCAUCCGUGAGGGAUCCACUGUUAUGACUUAAUCACCUCCAAGGAUCCCACCUCCAAAUACCAUCACUUUGGGCAUUAGGAUUUAACAAAUGAAUUUGGGGGAAAACAAACAUGCAGUCUAUAGGAGGGUUUUUUGGUAACUGAUUUAGGCAAAAUUAAAGAGAAAAUAUUAAAAUGGUGACAGGUGGUUCAGAGAACCAAGGAAGGCUGAACAAGGGUGUUCAGGGAAGGCACAAACACCAAGAAAAGCUAAAAUCUGUCAAAGCUUAGUCAAGGUUCUGUCUGCCUCAGGGACAUUGGCCAGGACAUCAUGUUGUGGGAUAGUUGGGCACUGCUAGACUUUGGAUUUCAGUGCUGCCACUAUGCAUGAUCUCUAGCCAUUCUGGCCUUUUACAUCUUUCUCUGAAGACCCCACAUUCGGAGUGGGGCAUCCUUUGACUGAGCCGAGCUCAUGUGCCCAUACCCCCUGCCAGAGCUGAGAGGCAAGGAUCAUCUGCCCACCUUUUGGCAGGUGGAGGUGGGUUCCUACCUCCCUCUGAAGUCACCCAAGGUGGUAUUUCUCCAAAAGAAAAGGGAACCAGAUGCUGGGGGACCAAAAAUGACCAAUGGUCAUGCCAUCCUAAUAAAGAGCUUUAGUGUUCUCUUUCAGGUAAUUUUGUUUUUCUUUUCAAAUCUGCUCACCAAAUGGAUUCCCUUUUUAGUACAAACCAUCUAAAAUAAUAGUCUGUGCCUGGAUAUUAACAGCUACUCCUUUCUCACCACCCACUUACCAUCUAUUAUAGUCCAUUUUCUAGUCAGGUGUGUGAAGAACUAAAAGAGCAGGUUUAUAUGCUUUUUUCCCCCUCAGACAUGAAAAGGCCUAGAUUAACACUUUUAGUCUGAAGAAAUAAACUUACAAAGCAUCCGGUGCUGGACCUGUCUCCCACUGUAAAGUCAAUGCCUGGCAUUUUCCUUUUCUGGAACAUGGGUUUUCCAAGAGCAAUUCCAUUUUCUUCCUCCUGUAAGGUCUCACAAUGGUACGUCUACACUUGUGGGUCUAAUUAUUUUGAAAACUAAUCUUCUUCUCCUCCUGCCUGUAUUUUGUAAUUAUUUAUGGUCGGUGCCAACAAAAAUCCACCCUCUAAUUCUAAUCCCCAUAAUCUAGAUUCUUUUCUUUAUAUCAUCACUUGCAUUUUUCUUGGGCCUUAUUUCUUUCUUCUUUCCACAUUUCUCCAACCUUGUGGUGGAGAUAAUGACCCCCUUUUGCUUGUUUUCCUGGAGUUUUCUUGAGCUCCUCCCUCUAGCCCCGUCUUUGUUUGUGUUCUGAACAUCUUUCUCUCUUAAGUUGCUGGCUGUCUGUGUUUGCCGUCUUUCUGUCUUCACAUUCUCUUUCUUGUAGCCUUCUUCAUCUUUCUACCCAACUACUUUAAAGCUCUUUCUCUGAGUCUUCUAUUGGACCUCAUAUUCACACCUCCAUCUUGACUGAAGACUGUUUCUCCAUUUCAUCUUUUUUCUCCCUAGUUUUCUUUAUAUCAACUAUAAUUCUUAACCAUGCAUCACUAAUUCAACACACAUUUAUUACAUAUGUAUUCUCUGGUUAGAACUGCAUGAGGUGCUAAAGAGAACAAAAAGAAUAAACUAGAAUUCUGCCCUCAGAGGUUCAAGAUCCAGCAAAGAAAGAAAACUUGUUAAAAAAAAAAAAAACAACUGUAAGUAAACAUGAUAAGCACAAUCUUAAGAGGAUAACCAAAAUACUUGAGAGCACAACAGUUGGAGAGAUGGAUCCUGCCUGAGAGGUCUCUUCUUCACAGAACAACUGGCAUUCAGCCCUGACUCUUGAAGGAUGAGUGGGGUUUUGCCAGACAGAAAUGGGGAAAUGUAUUUCAGGCACACUGCUAAGGAAAGUCAUGGGUGUUGUGGGUUGUUCACAAAGAGAUGAGUGGGGACUGAAAUCCAGGCCAUGCUCUGUAUGUUACUACUGAUACCCCAGCAUAGGGUUGUAUCGUCUCAGAAGAAGGUGAACAAAGAUAUCACAUAGGCUGGUGGUAUGUAAGUGCAUAGUUUGUAAGAGGCAAAUACCACACAGCCUUUCAUUUCUGCUCUGUUGCCCCUUUCUUCUGUCCUUGAAACCCUCAAUCAUGAGCCUUUCCAAAGUUAAAUUCUUCUUAGAUCAGUAUACACGGUGAAUGUAUGGCCAGCCUCAUAACCUGCAGUGUUUCCAGUUAAAUGGGUUAUUCCAAUCUUUUCUUUCUUGCAUUUAUAUUGUUUCUCCAUACAUGUAAUGGUGUAGUAUCUCUUUAGCUACACAAAUAUUUCAUCUCCAGCUACUGUUUCCAAAUAAAUGUUUAUUGCCUUUGAUUUAAUUAAAGCUAUUAGCACAA